rnacentral:rRNA from 1 species
AGUGAACGCUGGCGGUAGGCCUAACACAUGCAAGUCGAACGGCAGCACAGUAAGAGCUUGCUCUUACGGGUGGCGAGUGGCGGACGGGUGAGGAAUACAUCGGAAUCUACUUUUUCGUGGGGGAUAACGUAGGGAAACUUACGCUAAUACCGCAUACGACCUACGGGUGAAAGCAGGGGAUCUUCGGACCUUGCGCGAUUGAAUGAGCCGAUGUCGGAUUAGCUAGUUGGCGGGGUAAAGGCCCACCAAGGCGACGAUCCGUAGCUGGUCUGAGAGGAUGACCAGCCACACUGGAAAUGAGACACGGUCCAGACUCCUAGGGGAGGCAGCAGUGGGGAAUUUUGGAAAAGGGGGGGAGGCCUGAUCAAGCCAACCCGGGGGGGGGAAGAAGGCCUUCGGGUUGUAAAGCCCUUUUGUUGGGAAAAAAAAGCAGCAGGUUAAUACCCCGUUUUUGUGACGGUACCAAAAGAAAAAGCACCGGCUAACUUCG